GUUGUUGGGUAGGGGAGCGUUCUGUAAGCCUGUGAAGGUGUGCUGUGAGGCAUGCUGGAGGUAUCAGAAGUGCGAAUGCUGACAUAAGUAACGAUAAAGCGGGUGAAAAGCCCGCUCGCCGGAAGACCAAGGGUUCCUGUCCAACGUUAAUCGGGGCAGGGUGAGUCGACCCCUAAGGCGAGGCCGAAAGGCGUAGUCGAUGGGAAACAGGUUAAUAUUCCUGUACUUGGUGUUACUGCGAAGGGGGGACGGAGAAGGCUAUGUUGGCCGGGCGACGGUUGUCCCGGUUUAAGCGUGUAGGCUGGUUUUCCAGGCAAAUCCGGAAAAUCAAGGCUGAGGCGUGAUGACGAGGCACUACGGUGCUGAAGCAACAAAUGCCCUGCUUCCAGGAAAAGCCUCUAAGCAUCAGGUAACAUCAAAUCGUACCCCAAACCGACACAGGUGGUCAGGUAGAGAAUACCAAGGCGCUUGAGAGAACUCGGGUGAAGGAACUAGGCAAAAUGGUGCCGUAACUUCGGGAGAAGGCACGCUGAUAUGUAGGUGAAG
rnacentral:rRNA from 1 species